AUUGAACGCUGGCGGCAGGCUUAACACAUGCAAGUCGAGCGGAUGAAGGUAGCUUGCUACCGGAUUCAGCGGCGGACGGGUGAGUAAUGCUCAGGAAUCUGCCUAUUAGUGGGGGACAACGUUCCGAAAGGAGCGCUAAUACCGCAUACGUCCUACGGGAGAAAGCAGGGGACCUUUGGGCCUUGCGCUAAUAGAUGAGCCUAAGUCGGAUUAGCUAGUUGGUAGGGUAAAGGCCUACCAAGGCGACGAUCUGUAGCGGGUCUGAGAGGAUGAUCCGCCACACUGGGACUGAGACACGGCCCAGACUCCUACGGGAGGCAGCAGUGGGGAAUAUUGGACAAUGGGGGGAACCCUGAUCCAGCCAUGCCGCGUGUGUGAAGAAGGCCUUGUGGUUGUAAAGCACUUUAAGCGAGGAGGAGGCUACCUAGAUUAAUACUUUAGGAUAGUGGACGUUACUCGCAGAAUAAGCACCGGCUAACUCUGUGCCAGCAGCCGCGGUAAUACAGAGGGUGCGAGCGUUAAUCGGAUUUACUGGGCGUAAAGCGUGCGUAGGCGGCCAAUUAAGUCAAAUGUGAAAUCCCCGAGCUUAACUUGGGAAUUGCAUUCGAUACUGGUUGGCUAGAGUAUGGGAGAGGAUGGUAGAAUUCCAGGUGUAGCGGUGAAAUGCGUAGAGAUCUGGAGGAAUACCGAUGGCGAAGGCAGCCAUCUGGCCUAAUACUGACGCUGAGGUACGAAAGCAUGGGGAGCAAACAGGAUUAGAUACCCUGGUAGUCCAUGCCGUAAACGAUGUCUACUAGCCGUUGGGGCCCUUGAGGCUUUAGUGGCGCAGCUAACGCGAUAAGUAGACCGCCUGGGGAGUACGGUCGCAAGACUAAAACUCAAAUGAAUUGACGGGGGCCCGCACAAGCGGUGGAGCAUGUGGUUUAAUUCGAUGCAACGCGAAGAACCUUACCUGGCCUUGACAUACAGAGAACUUUCCAGAGAUGGAUUGGUGCCUUCGGGAACUCUGAUACAGGUGCUGCAUGGCUGUCGUCAGCUCGUGUCGUGAGAUGUUGGGUUAAGUCCCGCAACGAGCGCAACCCUUUUCCUUAUUUGCCAGCACUUCGGGUGGGAACUUUAAGGAUACUGCCAGUGACAAACUGGAGGAAGGCGGGGACGACGUCAAGUCAUCAUGGCCCUUACGGCCAGGGCUACACACGUGCUACAAUGGUCGGUACA
rnacentral:rRNA from 1 species